UACGAAGGGGGCUAGCGUUGCUCGGAAUGACUGGGCGUAAAGAGCUCGUAGGCGGUCUGUCACGUCGGCUGUGAAAACCCGAGGCUCAACCUCGGGCCUGCAGUCGAUACGGGCAGACUAGAGUUCGGUAGGGGAGACUGGAAUUCCUGGUGUAGCGGUGAAAUGCGCAGAUAUCAGGAGGAACACCGGUGGCGAAGGCGGGUCUCUGGGCCGAAACUGACGCUGAGGAGCGAAAGCGUGGGGAGCGAACAGG
rnacentral:rRNA from 1 species